GGGUUGUGAGGUUAAGCGACUAAGCGUACACGGUGGAUGCCCUGGCAGUCAGAGGCGAUGAAGGGCGUGCUAAUCUGCGAUAAGCGCCGGUAAGGUGAUAUGAACCGUUAUAACCGGCGAUACCCGAAUGGGGAAACCCAGUGUGAUUCGUCACACUAUCAUUAACUGAAUCCAUAGGUUAAUGAGGCGAACCGGGGGAACUGAAACAUCUAAGUACCCCGAGGAAAAGAAAUCAACCGAGAUUCCCCCAGUAGCGGCGAGCGAACGGGGAGGAGCCCAGAGCCUGAAUCAGCAUGUGUGUUAGUGGAAGCGUCUGGAAAGGCGCGCGAUACAGGGUGACAGCCCCGUACACAAAAGCGCAUGUGCUGUGAGCUCGAUGAGUAGGGCGGGACACGUGGUAUCCUGUCUGAAUAUGGGGGGACCAUCCUCCAAGGCUAAAUACUCCUGACUGACCGAUAGUGAACCAGUACCGUGAGGGAAAGGCGAAAAGAACCCCGGCGAGGGGAGUGAAAAAGAACCUGAAACCGUGUACGUACAAGCAGUGGGAGCCCCACCACUAAGCCAGUGGUGAACUCCACAUACGCAUCCUUUGCUGAGGAUACGGUUAACGGAGCGAAAGCGACGUUCAACCGCAAAAGAAGCAGAGGGGGCUUAGUGGUGGGGUGACUGCGUACCUUUUGUAUAAUGGGUCAGCGACUUAUAUUCUGUAGCAAGGUUAACCGUAUAGGGGAGCCGGAGGGAAACCGAGUCUUAAC
rnacentral:rRNA from 1 species